GAUCAACGGACCAAGUUACCCUAGGGAUAACAGCGCAAUCCUAUUUAAGAGUUCAUAUCGACAAAUACGGUUUACGACCUCGAUGUUGGAUCAGGACAUCCCAAUGGUGUAGAAGCUAUUAAUGGUUCGUUUGUUCAACGAUUAAAGUCCUACGUGAUCU
rnacentral:rRNA from 1 species